GGAACUGUGGCUGAGUGGCAGGGCAUUUGCCUAGUGACCAGGUGGUCCCAGGAUCAAGCCCUGGCGUCUCCA
rnacentral:tRNA from 1 species